UUGACGGGGAGCACCACAACGGGUGGAGCUUGCGGUUUAAUUGGAUUCAACGCCGGAAAUCUUACCGGGACCGACAGCAAUAUGAAGGCCAGGCCGAAGACUUUGCCGGAUUAGCUGAGAGGUGGUGCAUGGCCGUCGUCAGUUCGUACUGUGAAGCAUCCUGUUAAGUCAGGCAACGAGCGAGACCCACGCCCACAGUUGCCAGCGUACUCUCUGGAGUGACGGGUACACUGUGGGGACCGCCGCUGCUAAAGCGGAGGAAGGAAUGGGCAACGGUAGGUCAGUAUGCCCCGAAUAUCCCGGGCUACACGCGAGCUACAAUGGUUGGUACAAUGGGUAUCUACCCCGAAAGGGGACGGGAAUCUCCUAAAACCAAUCUUAGUUCGGAUUGAGGGCUGCAACUCGCCCUCAUGAAGCUGGAAUCCGUAGUAAUCGCGUUUCAACAGAACGCGGUGAAUAUGUCCCUGCUCCUU
rnacentral:rRNA from 1 species